CACCAAAGGCCUAAAUAUGAUCUGACAGGAGGACACGAAGUCCAUUCUAUCUCCUUUUCUUCUCCCAUCUGAUAUCAGCCUUUCUCUUCUCUAAGAAGAUAAUCAAUGGAGGAUUCACUCUUUUCAUAGACUCAUAGGCAAUGUCAUAUCUGUUCUGGUCUUCAGCUCUCCCAUCCCGACGUUUUGGAGGAUUGUUAAGAACGGCUCAACAGAGGAAUUCGAUCCACUUCCUUACGUCACGGCUUUCCUUAGCGCUUCACUUUGGGCUUACUACGGCAU